GACGAACGCUGGCGGCGUGCUUAACACAUGCAAGUCGAACGGAAAGGCCCUGCUUUUGUGGGGUGCUCGAGUGGCGAACGGGUGAGUAACACGUGAGUAACCUGCCCUUGACUUUGGGAUAACUUCAGGAAACUGGGGCUAAUACCGGAUAGGAGCUCCUGCUGCAUGGUGGGGGUUGGAAAGUUUCGGCGGUUGGGGAUGGACGCGCGGCUUAUCAGCUUGUUGGUGGGGUAGUGGCUUACCAAGGCUUUGACGGGUAGCCGGCCUGAGAGGGUGACCGGCCACAUUGGGACUGAGAUACGGCCCAGACUCGUACGGGAGGCAGCAGUGGGGAAUAUUGCCCAAUGGGCGGAAGCCUGAUGCAGCAACGCCGCGUGCGGGAUGACGGCCUUCGGGUUGUAAACCGCUUUCGCCUGUGACGAAGCGUGAGUGACGGUAAUGGGUAAAGAAGCACCGGCUAACUACGUG
rnacentral:rRNA from 1 species